CCUACGGGCGGCAGCAGUGGGGGAUAUUGCACAAUGGGGGGAACCCUGAUGCAGCGACGCCGCGUGAGCGAAGAAGUACCUCGGUAUGUAAAGCUCUAUCAGCAGGGAAGAAAAUGACGGUACCUGACUAAGAAGCCACGGCUAAAGACGUGCCAGCAGCCGCGGUAAUACGGACGGGGCAAGCGUUAGCCGGAUUUACUGGGUGUCAAGGGAGCGUAGGUGGCACGGCAAGUCAGAUGUGAAAACCCGGGGCCCAACCCCGGGAGUGCAUUUGAAACUGUCUGGCUAGAGUGCAGGAGAGUUAAGUGGCCUUCCUCGUGUAGCGGUGAACUGCAUAGAUAUUAGGAGGACCCCCAGUGGCGAAGGCGGCUUACUGGACUGUACCUGCCACUGAGGCUCGACAGCGUGGGGAGCAAACAGGAUUCGCUCCCCCAGUAGUC
rnacentral:rRNA from 1 species